AAAAAAACACAAAACCUAGGUGGAAAAAUUGAAGAAAAAGUGUGGGAUUUCAAAGGAUCAAGCAAUAAAAGGUAAAAUUUCUUGAUUUUGACUUGUGAUCUACCUUUCCCAUGCAUUUCUCCUUAUUUUUCAUGGUUAAAUUUCAUGUUUUCAUGGUGAAUUUAUGGCUGCCCAAAUGGGUACGGAGAGAGAAUGAAGUUAGAUUGAUUUGAUUUUAAGUUAUGUUAGUGUUUUUAGUUAGUUUAGCAUAUUUAGAAACAAAACAACAAGAAAAGAAUUCAUUUUCCCCCAUCACCAUCAUUGGCUGAAUUUUUUAGGGAGGAUAUUGUGGCUGAAAUUGAUGAUAUUUGGGUGAUAUUUGAUGUUUGGUGAGGCUAUAAAUUAAAUGAGAAAUUUUGGUAUGAAAAUCUGAAUUUUUACCUAAUGUAUAGACAUGUGUGAUUAUUGAUCCGGGACUGAUAAAUUGAAUCUCAUUCACAGUCACUGAGGUAAUUUAGGUAUAAUUGGAGCGUAGAAAGUGAGAAGAAUUGAUUUGGAGUUAAAUUGGAGAUUUUAGCCGAUUAGGUCGAGUAUAGUGUGACUUAGGUCGAAUAUCACAUUUAAGUGAUUAAUCAGACAUUUUGCAUCCCAUCUCAUGCGUUCAUUUAGAUUAGAGAGCCUAAAAUAGUUUAUGAUAAAUUGACACAAUUUAUUGAAAUUCAUGCCACGUAUGAUGUAUAGGUGGUGAGCCCUCUAACAAGGGUAAAGAAAUAGUGCCCGAAGACCGAGAAUAGGAAUAUAUCGAACUCCUAGUAUUGUGAGUAACCUUAUCAUCAUUUUUAUUAUCUAAAGUAUGUUUUUAAUCGGUUUUGGUGAAAUUUUAUGAAAAUGAGUUUAAAUGGUAAAUCUUGAGUUUUACAAACAAAAUGUGUCUACACAAAAAGAUUUUAUAAAUUGUUUUAAAAUUGAAUGAUGAUUUUGAAAAAAAGAGUAAUUGGAGGCCACUUGUUAUGAAUUAAAUUUAUGAUUUAAAUCUAAUGGCUUAUGACAGUAUUUGCAUGAAUGAUUGAAUUGGUAUUUGUGUUGAAAUAUAUGAAAUGUGUUUUUAACCUUGAAAGGCUGUGAAUUAUAAUAAUUGCCAUGUCAUGCUAGAAUAAAUUUUAUUGAUUUGUGGAUUAUAUAUUAAUUAAUCACUGCAGUAGGGGGUCUUUGUGGAUCAGCCUUUUAGAAAGACACGGUAAAUCCCAUUAUAUUCUUACUUCGAACGGAGAGGCGCGUAGGGUAUCUCCUGGGGUAAAGCUUAGAGUUCACUUCAAGCCGAACCACCACUUGAAGGGGAACUCAGCCAACGCCAAGGAACGGCUGUGUUUUUUCAAACUAAAAAUAUGUUUUACGUGUAUAUGAAAUUUUUAACAGCCUUGGCGGCUCGAGUGUACGCCUCUGAUCAAGGUGUUAUCGAGUAUAUUUGAUGGCAUGAGCCAAGUGCUUAUGAAAGUCAUAAGCCCUAAUGAGAAAUUAAAUAAAAUACAACCGUUUGCAUGGAUUUGGAUGAAUUUUCAAAUUGCGAAAUACUUAAAAUGAUGGGAUAUUUUAAUUGUCUCUUUUUACUCGAUUUUAGCUGAUUUAAAUGAUGUUUGUUUACUCACUAGGAAUGUAUAAUCUCACCACCCUCAUUUCCACUCAUUUCCACCCAUUUCAGGCUCAGAGUAGGCUGUAGAUAGUUGAUUCCAUUGAGGGCUUCUAUUGGAUUAGCGUCCUCCACACAGUAGGUUCACAGUUUCUUUAAUUCUAGUUAUUAUGGGCUCACUUAAUAUUGUAAAUUUAAUAGUUUAUU
rnacentral:lncRNA from 1 species